rnacentral:rRNA from 1 species
GCUAAGACUGGAUAGGAAACAAAAAGGCAUCUUUUUGUUUUUAAAAGACCUUCUUACGAAGGUAUGCUUAAAGAGGGGCUUGCGCCACAUUAGUUAGUUGGUAGGGUAAAAGCCUACCAAGACGAUGAUGUGUAGCUGGACUGAGAGGUUGAACAGCCACAUUGGGACUGAGACACGGCCCAAACUCCUACGGGAGGCAGCAGUAGGGAAUUUUCGGCAAUGGAGGAAACUCUGACCGAGCAACGCCGCGUGAACGAUGAAGUAUUUCGGUAUGUAAAGUUCUUUUAUUGAAGAAGAAAAAGUAGUGGAAAAACUAUAUUGACGUUAUUCAAUGAAUAAGCCCCGGCUAACUAUGUGCCAGCAGCCGCGGUAAGACAUAGGGGGCGAGCGUUAUCCGGAAUUAUUGGGCGUAAAGGGUGCGUAGGCUGUUAGAUAAGUCUAUAAUUUAAUUUCAGUGCUUAACGCUGUCUUGUUAUAGAAACUGUCUUGACUAGAGUGAGAUAGAGGCAAGCGGAAUUCCAUGUGUAGCGGUAAAAUGUGUAAAUAUAUGGAGGAACACCAGAAGCGUAGGCGGCUUGCUGGGUCUUUACUGACGCUGAGGCACGAAAGCGUGGGUAGCAAACAGGAUUAGAUACCCUGGUAGUCCACGCCGUAAACGAUGAGUACUAAGUGUCGGGGUAAAACUCGGUACUGAAGUUAACACAUUAAGUACUCCGCCUGAGUAGUACGUACGCAAGUAUGAAACUUAAAGGAAUUGACGGGACUCCGCACAAGCGGUGGAUCAUGUUGUUUAAUUCGAAGAUACACGAAAAAUCUUACCAGGUCUUGACAUACUCUGCAAAGCUAUAGAAAUAUAGUGGAGGUUAUCAGGGAUACAGGUGGUGCAUGGUUGUCGUCAGUUCGUGUCGUGAGAUGUUAGGUUAAGUCCUAAAACGAGCGCAACCCUUGUCGUUAAUUGCCAGCACGUAAUGGUGGGGACUUUAGCGAGACUGCCAAUUAAACAUUGGAGGAAGGUGAGGAUUACGUCAAAUCAUCAUGCCCCUUAUGAUCUGGGCUACAAACGUGAUACAAUGGCUGUGACAAAGAGUAGCUGAAACGCGAGUUUUUAGCCAAUCUCAAAAAAGCAGUCUCAGUUCGGAUUGAAGUCUGUAACUCGACUUCAUGAAGUUGGAAUCGCUAGUAAUCGCGAAUCAGCAUGUCGCGGUGAAUACGUUCUCGGGGUUUGUACACACCGCCCGUCAAA